AGUCUCUCGUCUGACGUGGUUCGCGGCAAAUGUUCGAUACGUGCGAGGAAAAAUCCCGCGGCACUCGAGUUACGGGAACGAAAAGUUCGCGCGACUGAGGGAGCCGAUUUCCCGCCAAAGUGGAGCGAUUUCUCGAACGGUAGCGGAAACAAAACCCGAGGGGGGUUUUUUAUUCUGGCAUCAUGAACAUCGAUGAAUUUCGUGUGCGCGGCAAGGAGAUGAUCGAGUACAUCUGCGAGUAUAUCCGGACGUUGGAGGGUAAAAGGGUGACGGCGAACGUCGAUCCCGGCUAUCUAAGACACCUGAUGCCGAAAGAGGCGCCUUUCAAGCCGGAAUCAUGGGACGCCAUCAUGAGGGACGUCGACGGCAAAAUAAUGCCUGGAAUCACUCACUGGCAGCAUCCGCGAUUCCACGCCUACUUCCCGUCUGGCAAUUCCUUCCCUUCGAUCCUCGGUGAUUUGCUGUCAGACGCGAUCGGCUGCAUCGGUUUCUCGUGGGCGGCUAGUCCAGCCUGUACUGAACUUGAAACCAUCGUGUUGGAUUGGUACGCCAAAGCGAUCGACUUGCCACCUGAGUUCCUGUCCGAGCAGAAGAGCGGCGGUGGCGUGAUUCAGGGCUCGGCCUCCGAGUGCAUCCUGGUGACGAUGCUGGCGGCGCGCACGCAGGUGAUUAAGAUGCUGAAGGAGCAGGAACCCAAUACGGAGGAUUCGGCGUUCCUGCCGAAAUUGGUGGCCUACUGCUCUACGGAGUCGCACUCGUGCGUUGAGAAAGCGGCGAUGAUCAGCCUGGUGAAGUUGCGGGUGCUCGAGCCCGACGAGAAGGCCGCUUUGCGCGGUAAACGGCUCGAAUUGGCGAUCAGGGAGGACGUGGCGAAUGGUUUGGUCCCGUUUUACGUAUCCACUACUCUGGGAACUACCGGUUCCUGCGCCUUUGACGAUCUCGUGGAGAUCGGGCCUGUUUGCAAGCUCUAUCCCAACAUCUGGCUCCACGUGGACGGCGCUUACGCUGGCAACGCCUUCAUCUGUCCGGAAAUGAGGCCGUUCAUGGCCGGCAUCGAGCACGCUGAUUCCUUCAACACGAAUCCGAACAAGUGGUUGUUGGUGAAUUUCGAUUGUUCCUGUCUGUGGGUGCGUAAUCGAAUGAAGCUCACGUCGGCGUUGGUCGUCGAUCCGCUUUAUCUUCAACACGCUCGCUCCUCAGAAUCGAUCGACUAUCGUCAUUGGGGCAUCCCUCUUAGCAGACGAUUUCGGGCGUUGAAGCUCUGGUUCGUCAUGAGAUCGUACGGUAUCUGCGGUUUACAGAAGUACAUCAGGAAUCACAUAAGAUUGGCGAAGCGAUUCGAGGCGCAGAUGAAGAAAGACAGGCGCUUCGAGAUCCUGAACGACGUGCGGGUCGGCCUGGUGUGUUUUCGAUUGAGGGAGAGCGAAGAAAUGAAUCAGGAGCUGCUGGCCAACAUCAACGCAUCCGGUCGGUUGCACAUGAUACCGGCCCGUGUAAUGGGCAAAUAUAUCCUGCGUUUUUGUGUGACGAAAGAGGAUGCGACUGAAGAUGAUAUCGAUUAUGCGUUAAACGUGAUCGAGGAACAUGCCACGGAAGUGAUGCUGGCGCACUACGAGGGCACGGAAGAUGAGUACAGAGCGAAGGGUCCAAAGAGUCCGGCCGCUCUCGACAAGAAACUCGUCCGAAAGUUCAGUUUUACCAGGAGUGUUACCAGAGAUGCCUACAAGCGAUCCAUCUCCAAGUCUAGUCUACACGAUGGUGCGACGCCCAUCAUGGUCGUCGAUGACAACUCGCAGGUCGAUACCAUCGACGAUGAUCGUUUCUGCAAUAGCAGAUCGUGACGAUGUCGAUGACGGUCUCCGGCGCCGACUCGGGACGACGUAGAUGAUAAUAAUAAAAAGGGCCCUCGUUACACAGCCGUGUGAUGUGGAAUUGCGACGGCCCGCCGUCAUCAACUUUCUGAUUCCCGAAGUCGUGUUUGUCGACAAGGACCGAUUAUUAUAUCGAUGGCAUCGCCACAAGAAGCAAUAGUGAGAUGAAUCAUUGUACAUAUGUAACAUGUGAUAAUGACUGCCGAUGUAUGUACGGAUUCCAAUAAUUUUAUAUAAAAACGCUGGUGAGUAAUAUAUAAAAGCCGUGGUGAGUAAUAUAUAAAUAUCGAUCUCAAUAAAUUUAUGCGUGAAUUAACAGUGAACUAUACUGGUCUCGAUAUAUACUGUGAGUAUAUCAGAAUUUCAGCAUUUUCUCCCGUUAAUACUACAGACUACGCAAAGGGAGAUGCGUUAUAAUGCUGAUACGCAUUAAUUAUUUAUAUUCAAAAAGUACUUUAUUUUAAAUCUCUGAUAUAAAUUCAUAAUUUUCAUCUCAAUUAAAGAGAACUAAACAAUUAAUAAAAAGGUAUUGUUUAAUAUUGUUAUAAUCGAUUAUAAGUUAGCAUGACAAACAUUGUGAUAUAUCCAAUAGUCUAUUAAAAAAUCCUAAAUUAUAAAAUACAUUUGAAAAAAAUGUACAUUAGCUUUGAGACACUAUGUAGUGUAAUAAUAAAAUUAUAUUAGAAUUUUUCGGGGAGGGGAGAUCGUGGAUAUAAUCAAUAUAUUCAUAUAUAAUUGACUGGACAAUUGUAUGACCGGUAUCACAUCGAUCAAUGGAAAUAGAGUUAAAUUUAAGAAUAAUUGUAUAUAAUCCUUACGAUGUAUAAGAAACAAGCGAGAAAGUUAUGAAAUAAAGUUUGGAGAAACACAUAAUAUUUGCAAAUUCAAAGAUUUACAAUUGUAGAUUAAUAAAUUUAGUUUGAAUCUCGUCGAAUCGAUGCUGAUACAAAUAUAUAAAUGUAUAUGUAUGAACAA